rnacentral:rRNA from 1 species
AUGGAGAUUGCCGCAGCGUUAGUCGGUGCCAUAGCUACCGCUGCUGCUACCACCGCUGCGUCCAAGCUCACCACCCUGAUAGGCAACCGACAUUGUGAGGCGACGGUGAAGGAGAAAGCCCAAUUCAUCAAAGAUGAAGUCCGGUUUAUCAAUAGUCUCAUAAAGUCGAUGCCCAAGGAGCUGGGGCUGUCGCCCUUACAGACUCAAUGCAUUGUACAACUGAGUCGCUUGGCAUGUGAAAUCGAAGACUGCGUAGAUUUGUUCCACACCGGCAAGACCAAUACUUUGACUUAUGAUAUUGAUCGACUCAAGACCAAAUCACUUGAGAUGAGAGAACGGAUACACACAUAUUUGGAGAUAGAAAAAAAGAUGGUCCCCAUUGGGACUGAUAGACUUGUUGAAGACCACAGACGCUUGCUAGGGACUUCACACUGGGGCGUCGAAAGAGCUUCACAAUGGGCUGCUGCUGUCCCCCAAGAGCUUCGGGAUCUUCUUGAUGACUCGAACCACCGUUUUUGGGUUGAUAAGAAUUUCAACUGCUUGCUAUAUUUGUGCUUGUUCCCUCCUAAUCAAGAUGUCAGUACUAAGCCCCUAAUGAGGAGAUGGGUGGCUGAAGGACUAGUGGAUGGAGCCAAUGUCGCUGCUGAGAAUCUGCGCUUCUUCAUCGACAAAAGUAUCAUCAGAUCCAUCCACACAAGCAACAAUGGCGAGGUGGAGACAUGUCAAUCUACCAGCCAGAUGCACGCGUGCAUCUCUGAGAAGUCCAAGUCCCAGAAUUUCGUCCUGGUGUGUGACGGCGCGGCCCGCAUAACAGAGCUGGCCGAGGCCCGCAGGCUAUCUGUGCAUCCUCCCGCAAACGGCAUUCCGGAGCUGAAUUUGCCUGAUGAUUUACCUCGUCUACGGACCCUGGCGGUAUUCCCUGCUGAUGAGGCGAAUCCCGACAGGUAUGAAGCUGCUCUUGAUUUUUUCAGGUAUAAAGUGCUGCGGGUGUUGGAUCUGAAAAAAUGUGCUCCCUUGAGUGAGCAACGUCUCAAGGAUAUCAUAAUCAAGCACCCGCAGUUUCUGAUGAAAUAUCUGAGCAUCAAUUUGGGCAACAUUAACGAGCUUCCAAGGUCAAUCAUGGAACUGAAUCAGUUAGAGACACUUGACCUGAGUGGAACUGCUAGCGAAACAGUGACGGUGCACAAAGAAGUCCUCCUGCUGCCCAAACUAAAGCAUCUCCUUGGCAAGUUCCAGCUUAACAUAAUGGAGAGCAACCCAUUGAAGUCUCACUCGGGUCUAAGGGACUUCCUGACAAACAAGAGUACACUGGAGACGCUGGAAGGAUUUGUGACCGGUACGAGAUAUGGAUUUCAAGCUCUGAUGAGUCUGAUGAAGUGUUUGAGGAUAGUGAAGAUAUGGUGCAAAUCCGACGCAAGUCAAGCAAACCUGGAUAUUCUUUCAAGCGCCAUUAGGAAGUUCAUUCGUCGUGGGACCGAUGAGCCUCAUUGCGGUCGGUCCUUAUCGGUCGACUUCGAAGCAUGCUUGAGAGGAUUCAUGAAUGAAAUAGACCCAGUGACGGCCGGCAUACUUGCCUCGCUCCAGCUACACGGCAAACUAAGCCAAUUCCCUCCGUUUGUUGCAGGACUUAGUGUUAUUGAGGAGUUGUGCCUCUGUUCCACUGGUCUGAGCUGGGAGGUUAUUCAAAAUGGGUUGAUCAUGGUGAAGGGGCUGAAAUAUCUCAGGCUUGUUGAAGAUAACCUUGUGCACUUCGACAUGCCGCCUAAAGCUGACCACCUCAGGAGCAUUGAGCGGAUAUCCAUUGUGUCCUCGCGAAGGCUAGACAUAACAAUCCCAGAUGAGGAGCUGCCACUUCUUGUGUCACUUCAAAUCCUCUGUCAAGCUCUGGAUGUUAGUCCUGCAACUGCCAACAUCCAAAUCAACCACAUGAACAAGCUGGAGAAAAUCACGCUCCAUCAUCAGCUCGCGAGUGGAAUAAGAACUAAAUGGGAAGAAGGAACAAGUGGCCAUCCCAAUAAGCCCGUCCUAUCAUUCAUUAAAGGCCCCUGA